UUCAAUACAUAUAUUUUUCUACUAGGAAGUUGCUGUUCUUUGCACUUUUGUUUUUGGGGUGGAUGCGUGUGGGUGGAACAAGUCCUUUUUGUAUAUUUAGAUAAUGUAGUAUUUCUUUAUAUGUUUUAUUAGUGUAGCACCAACAUAAAUUCCAUUGAUUGAUUACUGUGUGUCUCAUAUCAAUGACACAGAUAUUUACUGAAACAACCCGGGUCAAAUCUCGAGUCCGGAACAAAUCUUGGGUCAAAUCCCAAGUCCGAAUCGAAUCAAAUCCAUCCAAAUAAGGCCUCAAACCACUGGCCCAAUAGUAUCUUCUUGGGUCAUCUAGCCCACCACAGGCUCCCAAAAAGUCAUGACUUGAAGGUACUAUUGGUAGUUACUUAAUUCCUC
rnacentral:lncRNA from 1 species